AACGAACGCUGGCGGCAGGCUUAACACAUGCAAGUCGAGCGCCCCGCAAGGGGAGCGGCAGACGGGUGAGUAACGCGUGGGAACGUACCCUUUGCUACGGAAUAGCUCUGGGAAACUGGAAUUAAUACCGUAUGUGCCCUACGGGGGAAAGAUUUAUCGGCAAAGGAUCGGCCCGCGUUGGAUUAGCUAGUUGGUGGGGUAAUGGCCUACCAAGGCGACGAUCUAUAGCUGGUCUGAGAGGAUGAUCAGCCACAUCGGGACUGAGACACGGCCCAAACUCCUACGGGAGGCAGCAGUGGGGAAUAUUGGACAAUGGGCGCAAGCCUGAUCCAGCCAUGCCGCGUGAGUGAUGAAGGCCUUAGGGUUGUAAAGCUCUUUCACCGGAGACGAUAAUGACGGUACCCGGAGAAGAAGCCCCGGCUAACUUCGUGCCAGCAGCCGCGGUAACAC
rnacentral:rRNA from 1 species